AUUGAACGCUGGCGGCAGGCCUAACACAUGCAAGUCGAACGAGUGGCGGACGGGUGAGUAAUGUCUGGGAAACUGCCCGAUGGAGGGGGAUAACUACUGGAAACGGUAGCUAAUACCGCAUACCAUCGGAUGAGCCCAGAUGGGAUUAGAUGGUAGGUGGGGUAAAGGCUCACCUAGGCGAAGAUCCCUAGAUGGUCUGAGAGGAUGACCAGACACACUGGAACUGGGACACGGCCCAGACUCCGACGGGCGGCAGCAGUGGGGAAUAUUGGAAAAGGGGCGCAAGCCUGAUGCACCAAGGCCGCGUGUAUGAAGAAGGCCUUCGGGUUGAAAACUAUGUUCAGCGGGGACGCGUUACCCGCAGAAGAAGCACCGGCUAACUACGUGCCAGCAGCCGCGGUAAUAC
rnacentral:rRNA from 1 species